rnacentral:rRNA from 1 species
ACAGUCACACAUUAGAUACCCGCGUAGUCCUAGCCGUAAACGAUACUCGCUAGGUGUCGGCCACGGUGCGACCGUUGUCGGUGCCGUAGGGAAGCCGUGAAGCGAGCCACCGUGGGAAGUACCGGCCGCAAGGCUGAAACUUAAAGGAAUUGGCGGGGAGCACCACAACGGGUGGAGCUUGCGGUUUAAUUGGAUUCAACGCCGGAAAUCUUACCGGGACCGACAGCAACAUGAAGGCCAGGCUGAAGACUUUGCCGGAUUAGCUG